rnacentral:rRNA from 1 species
GACGAACGCUGGCGGCGUGCUUAACACAUGCAAGUCGAACGGAAAGGCCCUGCUUUUGUGGGGUGCUCGAGUGGCGAACGGGUGAGUAACACGCGUGUAACCUGCCCUUGACUUUGGGAUAACUUCAGGAAACUGGGGCUAAUACCGGAUAGGAGCUCCUGCUGCAUGGUGGGGGUUGGAAAGUUUCGGCGGUUGGGGAUGGACUCGCGGCUUAUCAGCUUGUUGGUGGGGUAGUGGCUUACCAAGGCUUUGACGGGUAGCCGGCCUGAGAGGGUGACCGGCCACAUUGGGACUGAGAUACGGCCCAGACUCCUACGGGAGGCAGCAGUGGGGAAUAUUGCACAAUGGGCGGAAGCCUGAUGCAGCAACGCCGCGUGCGGGAUGACGGCCUUCGGGUUGUAAACCGCUUUCGCCUGUGACGAAGCGUGAGUGACGGUAAUGGGUAAAGAAGCACCGGCUAACUACGU